CUCAUUUUUGUUUUACGUCAUAAUGGAGGAGACGCAGCUAUACCUGGGGCUUAGCCAAGACCGAGGCCAGUUUGAUGUCUUCCCAGAGCAGCUCCACCAGCUUCCACUCACUCCCUCACCUGUCCCAGGACACUUGCAAUCCUAAGCCAGGCAACAGUCACAGGAUGGCAGGAAAAUCUGAGAGGCAAAACCACAAAGGUGCAGGCUGCUGCUAAAGUCAGGACAAAUGGUGGUCAAAAUCUGUUGGGCAAUCAGUACCAGAGAAUAAGAGGGAAGUAGACCAGGAGCAUAAAUCAGGAUGAAAAAGCUCAGCGGGAGGUUGACAGGCAGAGAAUCCUGGAGUCAAUAGGAAAAAACUAGACUGGACAAACUGACAGAUUAAAAACAACUGCUGAGAGCUCAAGAGCAAACAAGAAUCUGACACAGAAUAUCACACUCAAGGGAAAUAAGUAAAGCAACAAUUGAGCAGGACAACGAGC
ensembl:lncRNA